rfam:Schistosoma rodhaini strain Burundi genome assembly, scaffold: SROB_scaffold0006455
GUAGGCUAUGGUGAUAUCACACCAAAAACAGCAUUAGGCAAAGUGAUUGGCUCAAUAUGUUGUAUAUGCGGUGUACUUGUUGUCGGUCUACCAAUACCGAUCAUUGUUAAUAAU